UACGGAGGGUGCGAGCGUUGUCCGGAAUCACUGGGCGUAAAGGGCGCGUAGGCGGCUCGUGAAGUCAGUGGUGAAAGCCCAGGGCUCAACCGUGGAGGGUCAUUGGAAACUGGGGAACUUGAGUGCAGAAGAGAAAAGCGGAAUUCCACGUGUAGCGGUGAAAUGCGUAGAGAUGUGGAGGAACACCAGUGGCGAAGGCGGCUUUUUGGUCUGUAACUGACGCUGAGGCGCGAAAGCGUGGGUAGCAAACAGG
rnacentral:rRNA from 1 species